rnacentral:rRNA from 1 species
AGCGAACGCUGGCGGCAGGCUUAACACAUGCAAGUCGAGCGCCGUAGCAAUACGGAGCGGCAGACGGGUGAGUAACGCGUGGGAACGUGCCUUCUGGUUCGGAAUAACUCAGGGAAACUUGAGCUAAUACCGGAUAAGCCCUUCGGGGGAAAGAUUUAUCGCCGGAAGAUCGGCCCGCGUAAGAUUAGCUAGUUGGUGAGGUAAUGGCUCACCAAGGCUACGAUCUUUAGCUGGUCUGAGAGGAUGAUCAGCCACACUGGGACUGAGACACGGCCCAGACUCCUACGGGAGGCAGCAGUGGGGAAUAUUGGACAAUGGGCGCAAGCCUGAUCCAGCCAUGCCGCGUGAGUGAUGAAGGCCUUAGGGUUGUAAAGCUCUUUUAGCAGGGGCGAUAAUGACGGUACCUGCAGAAAAAGCCCCGGCCAACUUCGUGCCAGCAGCCGCCGUAA